rnacentral:lncRNA from 1 species
GGCUCCACCAUUCCCUGAUCAGCCCCUUCUCAUGCUUGGCAACCCUUCCUUAUUCCAACCAAGUUCUUCCUUAUGUUCAACUUAAGCCUUCUUUGGUUCAACUUUGGCCGUUCCCUCUCCUCCUGUCCCUGUUCCCUGGCAGCAGAGCCCGACCCCCCCGGCUGUCCCCUCCUGCCAGGGACUUGUGCAGAGCCACAAGGGCCCCCUGAGCCUCCUUUGCUCCAGGCUCAGCCCCUUCCCAGCUCCCUCAGCAAUUCUCCAGCCCCUUCCCAGCUCCCUCAGCAAUUCUCCAGCCCCUUCCCAGCUCCCUCAGCCCCUCCUGGGGCUGCAGACCCUUCCCCAGCUCCAUUCUCUGCACACUCUCCAGCUCCUCUGUGCCCUUCCCUAAUUUAGGGAAUUUUUCUGUGCUGGGAGUACACACUGCUGGCUCACAGUGAGGUUUUCAUUAAUCAUCACCCCUAAUAUUUCUCCGUAGGGCUGUUCUCAGUCCCUUCUCCAUCCAACCUGUGAUGCUCAGAGAAGCUGUGGCUGCCCCUGGAUCCUUGGAAGUGUCCAAGACCAGGUUGGACAGGGCUUGGAGCAGCCUGGGAUAGUGGGAGGUGUCCCUGCCAUGGCAGGGGUAGAACUGGGUGGGUUUUAAGGCCCCUUCCAACCCAAACCAUUCCAUGAUUCUGUGAUCUUUAUUCACAGCAGAAAGUAACAGCAUCUGAGUACUGAAUUCUCAAGCAGAAGUCAGGGAGAAGAGCUGCUGGGUUUGAUACAGGAUGAAGGAUGAUGAAAUAAGAGAGGCUUGUGAAAACAAGAAAUCAUCUUUUCUCGAUGAUGUCUGUGCCUCAUAAACUCAGAUGCUGCAGCAUCUUUUUAUGUCCUGAGGAUGAGCUGAACACUAAACCAGAUGAACAAGCUGCAGGAGCCCAGCACUUGCCCACCUGGGGCUGACCUUUUGAAGGACCACUUGAGGAGAGUGGAGGCUUGGCCAGGUGAUGAUUCCAAGCUCUGCAGUCCCUGGAUCAGCAAACCCCCGCCCCCGGGCACAGAUGGAGCUGCGGCAUCCGCCAAGGAGGAUCGGGAGAGGAAAGGAGCUGGGAAUUCGCUUCUCCUGCCUGCAGGUCCCUCUGGAAAAGCGGGAUGCUCUGAUGGACGGUGUUUGCAGCACGGCAGGAUGUGAAUCCUCCUGUGCUCCCCACCUCUCUGCUCCAUCCCGUUCCUUCCCCGGCCCUGACCGCAUCCCUCCAGAGCCUCCUCGGCGUUUCCAAGCCAACAGCUCAAGCCCAAGUGCCACCAGAGGUGACUUGGAGCAGGGUCACUUGCUGCCUUGGUGCUCUCUGCUGGGGACACUCCCAGCCCGGGCUCAUCACUUGGAGAUAAACACGAAACCGCUCUGAGAGCUGGAGCCCCUCUGCUCUGGAGCCAGGCUGGGAGAGCUGGCAAUGCUCACCUGGAGAAGGUGAGCAAUAUCCAACACACCGUGGCCACUCCUGUGUUCCUCAAUGGACCCCAUUCCCAGCAUCCUGCCCAAAAUCCCUUCCCUUGUUCAGCCUCACAGCAGCAGCUGCUGCUCGUUUUGGUGCCCACUGCAGAUGGGAUCAUUCGAUCUCCAGAUUUCUCCGUGCAGCCAAGUUGGAGCUUGCAAUUUCCUUUCAGCUGCAUUAAGUUCCUGCAUAAUUUUCAAUUCACUCUUCUUUUGUGGGGGAUGAAUAGAGAAGGGUGAUCUCUUUCAAAGAAGAUUUAUUAAAAUGCAAAUAAACUUCAAGCUGAAGGUCCA